GACGUAGGGCGCGAGCGUUGUCCGGAUUUAUUGGGCGUAAAGAGCUCGUAGGCGGCUCGUUGCGUCGGCUGUGAAAACCCGCAGCUCAACUGUGGGCUUGCAGCUGAUACGGGCGGGCUGGAGUUCGGUAGGGGAGACUGGAAUUCCCGGUGUAGUGGUGGAAUGCGUAGAUAUCGGGGGGAAUACCAGUGGCGAAAGCGGCAUACCAGCAUUGUACUGACGCUCAUGUACGAAAGCGUGGGGAGCAAACGGG
rnacentral:rRNA from 1 species